GACUGGCUAGCUCAGUUGGUAGAGCACUAGGCUUCAAAUAUGAGAAUUGCUGGUUCGAUUCCUGGCCUGGCCA
rnacentral:tRNA from 1 species